rnacentral:rRNA from 1 species
UACGUAGGGUGCAAGCGUUGUCCGGAAUUAUUGGGCGUAAAGCGUGCGCAGGCGGUUUUGUAAGCCAGAUGUGAAAUCCCCGGGCUCAACCUGGGAAUGGCAUUUGGGACUGCAAGGCUUGAGUGCGGCAGAGGAGACUGGAAUUCCUGGUGUAGCAGUGAAAUGCGUAGAUAUCAGGAGGAAUACCGAUGGCGAAGGCAGGUCUCUGGGCUGACACUGACGCUCAUGCACGAAAGCGUGGGGAGCAAACAAGG